rnacentral:tRNA from 1 species
UAAGAAAUUAGUUAAUUUAUAACCUAUGCUUGUCAAGCAUAAAUAAUCUUCUAGAUAUUUCUUAA